rnacentral:rRNA from 1 species
UACAGGGGGGGCAAGCGUUGUUCGGAAUUACUGGGCGUAAAGCGUGCGCAGGCGGUCGUGCAAGACAGAUGUGAAAUCCCCGGGCUCAACCUGGGAACUGCAUUUGUGACUGCACGGCUGGAGUGCGGCAGAGGGGGAUGGAAUUCCGCGUGUAGCAGUGAAAUGCGUAGAUAUGCGGAGGAACACCGAUGGCGAAGGCAAUCCCCUGGGCCUGCACUGACGCUCAUGCACGAAAGCGUGGGGAGCAAACAGG